GCCGGGCAUGGUGGCGCACGCCUUUAAUCCCAGCACUUGGGAGGCAGAGGCAGGCGGAUUUCUGAGUUCGAGGCCAGCCUGGUCUACAAAGUGAGUGCCAGGACAGCCAGGGCUACACAGAGAAACCCUCAGAAAAACUGUGUAGCCCUGGCUGUCCUGGAACUCACUCUGUAGACCAGGCUGGCCUUGAACUCAGAAAUCCGGCCUGCCUCU
ensembl:misc_RNA Gm25735 predicted gene, 25735